rnacentral:rRNA from 1 species
GACGGAGGGGGCAAGCGUUGUCCGGACUCACUGGGCGUAAAGGGUGCGCAGGCGGUCCUGUGCGUCGGCGCUGAAAGCGCCCGGCUUAACCGGGCGAGGCGCGGCGAUACGACAGGACUGGAGGCUCGGAGAGGGUGGUGGAACUCCUGGUGUAGUGGUGAAAUGCGUAGAGAUCAGGAAGAACACCCGUGGCCGCAAGCGACCACCUGGCCCGAGACCUGACGCUGAGGCA